rnacentral:lncRNA from 1 species
UACACCAUUGGACCCUAACCUUUCUUUUUUGCACUCUAGUUCCUAACCUCUUGAUUUCAUUACAAUUAAAUUCCAUCCGUUCGACCCUAACAUUUCUUUUUUGCACUCUAGUUCCUAACCUCUUGAUUUCAUUACAAUUAAAUUCCAGCCAUCAGAACGGAUGCUCAAAUUGACAAAAAAUGCCGCGUUAGCACCGUGUCAGCACUACAGAAACGCUGUGUCAGCGCCGGCUAAUUAUACAAUUUAAAUUUAAAAUUUAAAUUAUAUUUUGAAUUAAAUUAUAAAUUCAAAUCAAAAUUUUUAUUUAAAUUUAGAUUUUAAAUUCAAAUUUUGAUUUUGUAUUUAAUUUUAG